CGCGUAGGUGGUUUGAUAAGGGUGUGGUGAAAGCCCGGAGCUCAACUCCGGGUCUGCCGUGCCGACUGUCAAACUCGAGGGCUGUAGAGGCAGACGGAAUUCCGGGUGUAGCGGUGGAAUGCGUAGAGAUCCGGAGGAAGACCGGUGGCGAAGGCGGUCUGCUGGGUAGUUUCUGACACUGAUGCGCGACAGCGUGGGGAGCAAACA
rnacentral:rRNA from 1 species